UACGAAGGGGCUAGCGUUGUUCGGAAUGACUGGGCGUAAAGGGCGCGUAGGCGGCUUUUAAGUCGGGCGUGAAAGCCCCGGGCUCAACCUGGGAACGGCGCUUGAUACUGGAAGGCUUGAGGGCGGGAGAGGAUGGUGGAAUUCCCAGUGUAGAGGUGAAAUUCGUAGAUAUGUGGAAGAACACCGGUGGCGAAAGCGGUUUUCUAGCUAUUACCUGACGCUGAGGCGCGAGAGCAU
rnacentral:rRNA from 1 species